rnacentral:lncRNA from 10 species
GGCUUUUAUGCACCACGUGCCACGCACAGGAAAAAUCAACAUUAGUUCUGUUUUUCAAAUGAGAAAGCUAAAUACAGAACGACAACAUUAGUUCUGUUUUUCAAAUGAGAAAGCUGCAUGCAGAACGAGUCGUGCUUCCUGAAGCCACAGUCGUAGCCGUUUGUGGGAACCUGGAGGUUGGAUUCUGGAGGGACGUCCCUGUGAGUCGAGUGCGCAGGUUCCCAGGAGCUUUGCUGUCUCCUCGCCAUUGCUGCAAGGAUGGGGUGCUGGGGACAUGCAUUCUAGAAGCCUGCUCUGCUGUGAUCACAGCCCAGGGGUGGAAAAUGGGAGAGCCAGAGCCUCACAUGGACAGCAGGACUUUCCCUGAUGGAGAAGCAAGUUACACACUACCAUCUGGGGUACAAUCAGAAACUUUCAUGGGGAUUAAGUUUUUGAAACAAGACCUGUGUGACAUGUAGCUGCAUUCUCAUAUCCUGAAGCAUUUGAUGGAAAUGCCUAAUAUAUUGACGUAGAAAUGGGAUCCUGCCAACACUCAGCCAUCCAUGUGCAGAAGAGCAGGCUCGGUCCAAGCCCAUGGCCACCAGGCCUCCUCUAUACAGCUCUGAAAGAGGAAUGCAUAUCGUUUUGGCAGCAACACCUAAUCAGGGACCUCAGAAGCCUCACCAAUGGCUGUGCAGCAGUCAGACCCUGAGUGACUGCACAGAGCAGAGCUCUCUGCUGACAGCUGCGCAGCUUCCGUGAAUGAGAAAUGAGCCUUCACUGCCUGCAGUCACCAAGGCCUGGAGGCCUCUCUGUUGAAGAAGCAAGCAGACAGGUGGAGAAGGCUGUGGGUGGAGAAGUUGGAAGCUCAGUUCUGAGCCUUUUGAGCUCUCUAUUAGACGACCAAGUGCAGACAUCAAGCAGGAACUUGAUACAUGAGUGAGCAGUCUGCAAGUGCGUGAACUUUAUGUGAUGGAAAAUGAUAACCCUCCCCCAAAAAUACAACUCAGUAGAUAAAUUGAACUAUUUUGAGUUUAAGAAGCUCACUUUCUAAAGAGCAAGCCAUACAAUAAAAUUAAUGUGAAGAAAAACUAUGCAAAUUAACAUGAUGCCAUCAUUUGUAAUGUUAUGUGACUAAACCUUUCGAUCUCAAUGAUAGUUUGUAAUACAUUGGUUAGUUCAGAAAAGUGCUAAGGCACGGCGAAGCUGCUGAGGCAUCCCAGAAUCCUGCUCUGUACACUGUCAUAAAAAUGAUAAUAUUAAAAGCCACGAUCUUUAAAAUGAAGAUGACCCCAUGAUAUUUGGGCAUCGGAAUUCCCCAAGCUCUUACAAUUCUUUAAUUUCAACUUUGAAUGGUGUUUCAUUUUCAGCAACCACCUGCAUAAAUAAUUCAUUCUCUUUAAAGAUGCUGGGAACUAAGCAACUGGGAUAAUUGACAAUUUUGAAAGGAAGAAGAUGAAUGUGCAUGUUAUGGAAAGGUCGUGUUUCCUAUAAGGUUUUUCUCUCUGAGGAUUUGUGUGGUGCUGAAUGAAAAAAUAUUAAAUCAACUAAAAUAUUUUUCUUGAAAAUCUCGUAAAAUUACAAAAUAAAGUUUCUUUUGUGUGAAGUUAAAUAGAAAUGAAAAUUAUAAGUGGAAUAUUUAGAAUAUAUAAUGCAUCCUCUGUGUAGAUAAUUUUAAUCUAGUCCGGUCUUUUAAAGUCAACAUAGUUUUUUUGUUUCAUAUUAAUUAAAUAUAGAUGUGAUUUGUCAAAUUGAAAGUUUCAAAAUUUUUUAGAAAGAGACUGUACGCUGCUAUACAUAGUAAGUACAAGGAUGGUAAGUUAGCCUUAGGGGUGUUGGCUGUUGACUGGUGAUAUUAAAUACAACUGAUUUCCCCUUUGUCAUACUGGAGCCUUGUUCCAUUUACAAAGAGAUAACAGUGUAAGUCCAGCAAACCAGCUACUUACUUUUAAAUGAAAUUUUCAGCAUUUACUGAGGCCUCAGGUACCAGACAUGC